UAUAAGAGGUCCAGCCUGCCCAGUGACUCUGUUUAACGGCCGCGGUAUCCUAACCGUGCGAAGGUAGCGUAAUCACUUGUUCUUUAAAUGUGGACUAGUAUGAAUGGCAUCACGAAGGUUAUACUGUCUCCUUUUUCUAAUCAGUGAAACUAAUCUUCCCGUGAAGAAGCGGGAAUAAAACUAUAAGACGAGAAGACCCUAUGGAGCUUCAAACAAUAUAGCAUUUGUCAUACAAUAAAUAAUUUCUGAACACUAACUUACCAGACAAUAUGACUUUAAGGUUUUUGGUUGGGGUGACCAUGGAACACAAUAUAACCUCCAUGUUGAAAGAAACCUUUUUCUAAGCUAAGAACUACACGUCUAAGCAUUAAUACAUUGACAUCUAUUGACCCAAUAUACUUGAACAACGAACCAAGUUACCCUAGGGAUAACAGCGCAAUCCACUUCAAGAGCUCCUAUCGACAAGUGGGUUUACGACCUCGAUGUUGGAUCAGGGUAUCCCAGUGGUGCAGCCGCUACUA
rnacentral:rRNA from 1 species